rnacentral:lncRNA from 1 species
AGCUCUCUGAAUUCGCCGGUCAAGACUCUAACUCCAACGCGUCUUUGAAGAAGAGGAGCGAGGAUGAAAUAGAAGAGGAGAGAAGAUGAAGAAGACCAACACCGGAUCUGAGGAAGCUUUGGUGUGGAGAUGGAGAGGAAGCUAGUGGUGGUGGUUGAGGUGGAGCCGAGCAAGAAGAAGAAGAAGAGGAAGAGAGGAGGAAUAGGAGAGAAGUCAAGAGACACGACGGCUUAGUAGGUUUAGGUUUAGUUGUUUGGUUUAUUUUGGUUAACUUUGAUGUACCGGUUUUACAUUUGUAACAAUUUCGAUAUAUAAAUUUUUUUAAUUUUUUUUUUAAUUUUUAAUAAGGUAAAUAAUAACACAAAAACAACGCUAUUAAAAAAUAUUUAAUUGCAUAUACAAAACUGCUAUAGUAUAUCGUAAUAUGAUAGCAGUGCAAAAAACCGCUAUCUAAUGUGCCUGAUCUAUUAUGACGGGCGAUGAUACAACGCUUCAUAAACCGCUAUCGUAUCGUUAGAUAACGUUUUUUGUCCGCUAUUAAAAGCUUUUUUUCUUGUAGUGUUCACAAGC